rnacentral:tRNA from 1 species
GNAAUUAAUUACCCCUCAAUGA